GUUAAUAUGGCAGAGCUUGGUUAUGCAAAAGAUCUAAGCCCUUUUAACCGGGGUUCAAAUCCCCUUAUUAACU
rnacentral:tRNA from 1 species